UACAAAAGAAAUGAUGUCAUGCCUGAUCGCUUGCAAGUAACUGGUAAUCGUCUUUCUCGAAAACAGAUGGCGUGUUGUUAUUUUUGUUUUCUGUUCGUCGUCUGCUCUUCUUCAUUUGAGUUUGAGACUUGGGAGUGUUGGACACGAAAAGAACGCUGUUAUAACAUUUGUUACCGUGUGUUUUCUGGUAUAAAUUUAUUUAGUGAGUUUGGUUUUCCAUACUGUCGACACCGAAAACUCAAUCAACAGUCCUGUGGUGACUAAUGCAGGGUCUAUUUAAAAAACAAGAAACAUUUUGUCAAUUCCUCGACCGACCGUUAUCAUCAAGUCUUCAUUCAUUCCUCAAAACACCCAGAAAAUGUACCUGCCGUCUGAUAGUCAUCAGAUAAGAUGUACCCUAUUUCAUGAACAAAUUGCUCGACACUUCCUGUCACUCACAUCUUCAGCUUCAUCUGUCAUCUUCUCACAUCUUUGGCUGCAAAAAUUCCAACUUUUUUGCCCAAAAGUUGUGGCCUGUUAGGAAUAUGGUUUAGGGUCAUCCUUGCCUGAAAAAUAUUACACCUUUGAUCAAUGUGUUUAUUGGUGGGGUUGAUGGAGUCAUGAAAUUGAAUUGCUGGUGCCAUUCCCUGAAGCAGCCACUUCACAACCAUAAGAGACGAGCAGAAGUACACCUACAACAGAUUGAGAACUAUUUGUUACGUCGCUGAGAUCGCGAGACGACCGCCAAUGUCAAUCUACAACGCAGUUUCUUUAUUGGAAUUGCUUGGUCCUGGCAUGGAGAUCCUUGAGCAAACGCCUGCUUUGGUCCAUGACAGAAGAGGGACUUCCAACAGCUUUCUGCUUCAUCCUUAUCCUCACGACGUCUGCUCAUCCAGCUUCACUGCUUCUUUUGCUGCUAGACUUUUCUUGCUUCACUGGCGAGUUUGCUCACUUCAGCGUUCGCUUCCAUUCGCUGUGACACACCUGCAGUCACUCAUCACGGGAUUGUGCCCAGGUCAUGCAGAGGAGAAGUCGAGAAGAUGGACACCAAAACAUCGCCGGUAUCUCCAAAAUGUCAGCGCGGAUCAUCAUUUGUUGUUGGUAAUAUAUUUUGUGUGUGUGUGUUAGUUAACCCGUUGGCUGCCACGC
rnacentral:lncRNA from 1 species